rnacentral:rRNA from 1 species
GACAGAGGGUGCAAACGUUGUUUCGGAAUUACUGGGCGUAAAGCGCGUGUAGGCGGCCCUGCAAGUCGGGUGUGAAAUCCCAUGGCUCAACUAUGGAAGUGCACUCGAAACUGCAGGGCUAGAGUCCUGGAGAGGAAGGUGGAAUGCUUGGUGUAGAGGUGAAAUUCGUAGAUAUCAAGCGGAACACCGGUGGCGAAGGCGGCCUUCUGGACAGUGACUGGACGCUGAGACGCGAAAGCGUGGGGAGCGAACAGG